rnacentral:lncRNA from 1 species
GGCGGGAAGGCCCCGCUUCGAGACCAAGCAAGCUCUGAGGUUGGCCCCAGGUUGCAGAGGAGAGGCAGCGCUGUGCUGGAUGCAGGGAACCAGCAUUUUUGCCCCAGAGAGUGCCUUCCUCAACGUAGUUCACCGCCCUUGAAAAGCCGGUUUGUGCCAGAAAGGAAGAUGCUUGGCACCAUUCAACUCUCAUGUGGUUCCAGCUCCUAGUGAUAAAGGAAAUGGCUCUAAAGGAACAGGAAAGAGAGGAAAGAGGGCAUUUGAAUAAAUCAUGAAGUACACACUCA